rnacentral:rRNA from 1 species
CUACGGGAGGCAGCAGUCGGGAAUCUUGCACAAUGGGCGAAAGCCUGAUGCAGCAACGCCGUGUGAGCGACGAAGGCCUUAGGGUCGUAAAGCUCUGUUGUUAGGGACGAAGGGCGAAGGGUUAAUAGCCCUUAGCCUGACGGUACCUUUCGAGGAAGCCCCGGCUAACUACGUGCCAGCAGCCGCGGUAAUACGUUGGGGGCGAGCGUUGUCCGGAAUUAUUGGGCGUAAAGGGCGCGUAGGCGGCCUGGUAAGUCUGCUGUGAAACCUUGGGGCUCAACCCCAAGCGUGCAGUGGAUACUGUCAGGCUAGAGGAUGGUAGAGGCCAGUGGAAUUCCCGGUGUAGCGGUGAAAUGCGCAGAUAUCGGGAGGAACACCAGUAGCGAAGGCGGCUGGCUGGGCCAUUCCUGACGCUGAGGCGCGAAAGCUAGGGGAGCGAACAGGAUUAGAUACCCUGGUAGUCCUAGCCGUAAACGAUGAACACUAGGUGUGGGGGGAGUCGAAUCCCUCCGUGCCGAAGCCAACGCGUUAAGUGUUCCGCCUGGGGAGUACGGCCGCAAGGCUAAAACUCAAAAGAAUUGACGGGGGCCCGCACAAGCAGCGGAGCAUGUUCUUUAAUUCGAUGCAACGCGAAGAACCUUAC